UCCCUGGUAGUCUAUUUGCUAGUACACGCGCCUGUCAUUUGCAGGGAUCGCGCGGAAGCUGGGUUCGACUCCCAGCCAGGGAA